UACGUAGGGACCAAGCGUUGUCCGGAUUUAUUGGGCGUAAAGAGCUCGUAGGCGGUUCGGUAAGUCAGCUGUGAAAUCUCCACGCUCAACGUGGAGGGGUCAGCUGAUACUGCCGUGACUUGAGUCUGGUAGGGGAGUGCGGAAUUCCCGGUGUAGCGGUGAAAUGCGCAGAUAUCGGGAGGAACACCAGUGGCGAAGGCGGCACUCUGGGCCAGUACUGACGCUGAGGAGCGAAAGCGUGGGGAGCGAACAGG
rnacentral:rRNA from 1 species